CUCCCAAGGACUAACAGCCAACACAGCUUCUGGUUUCUCCUCUCUCCUCCCUGUUCCUUCUUCCUGCCUCCAGGUUGCUGUUGCCAUGGCAACCGAAAUGAAUAAACCUCGGAAUCUUAUCUCUUACUACGGGUCCAUCCCUGUUGCUGCAAAUGGCAUGAUUUCAUUCUUUUUUAUGGCUGACUAAGACUUGUACCCAGCCGAUUUCAAGGAUAUGGGCCAUCUUGGAGUUUUGAUGUAACCUCUGCCACAUUUUGUUUUGUUCACGACUACAUUCCUAGUUGCCUAAUAGUGCCCAGUAUAUGGCCUCUGAUGAAAUAAAAGUCACAUUUUAUGGCAAGGAAAGAAAAACUUAAACGGGAAGAGGCGGCCCUCUUUUGGCGUCUGCAGUUUGCAUCCCUACCUCCUCAGCAGAUGAGGAAUUGAGUGUGCAAAGCCAUAGAGAAAACACUGAAGUAGAAAGCCUGCUCCUCAGAGGCCUGCAGAGACAAUCCUUUGUACCCAAACAGAUGGUCAGUUGGGCACCGAAAGGAUUAAGUGACUUGUCUGGGCUUUUGUACCUCAUUAGUGCCAAAGUGGCUAGCUGUAAGUCACUGACACCUCAACAGGUAAGGCUUCUCUGUGUAACUGUUAGGAAACCAUCAGCCAAAACCUUCUGCCCUGGCCAGGCAUGAUAAUAAUCGCUUGUAUGAGCUAUCCCACAACAGGAGGUCCUGAUGAGGAGAAAGGAGCUGACACAAGCUGCUGCCAACCAGGAGAAUUCGGGAGAGUUUGUAAAAAGGAGAGAGGAGAUGCCAGCUUAUAAUAUGUCCUGCCAACCUCCCAGAAACCCUCGCGCUGGAAACCGUCUUGACUGAGAGAGGUCCAUGCUACCAGGAAGGCCCUGGAAUUGGACCAAAUAUGGGCCCAGGCAAGAUGACUGGCCAGAGGCACCUGGAAGGACUAACCUCACCACCAGGAACCCUGAGACUAUUGCAGCAGCCAUGAAAUUAAAAGACGCUUACUCCUUGGAAGGAAAGUUAUGACCAACCGAGACAGCAUAUUAAAAAGCAGAGACAUUACUUUGUCAACAAAAGUCCAUCUAGUCAAGGCUAUGGUUUUUCCAGUAGUCAUGUAUGGAUGUGAGAGUUGGACUAUAAAGAAAGCUGAGCACUGAAGAAUUGAUGCUUUUGAACUGUGGUGUUGGAAAAGACUCGAGAGUCCCUUGGACUGCAAGGAGAUCCAACCAGUCCAUCCUAAAGGAGAUCAGUCCUGCAUGUUUAUUGGAAGGACUGAUGCUGAAGCUGAAACUCCAAUACUUUGGCCACCUGAUGUGAAGAACUGAUUCAUUGGGAAAGACCCUGAUGCUGGGAAAGAUUGAGGGCAGGAGGAGAAGGGGACGACAGAGGAUGAGAUGGUUGGAUGGCAUCACCGACUCAAUGGACAUGGGUUUGGGUGGACUCCGGGAGUUGGUGAUGGACGGGGAGGCCUGGUGUGCUGCGAUUCAUGGGGUCGCAAAGAGUCGGACACAACUGAGCAACUGAACUGAACUGAGAUACAAUUUUAUUUAAAAAAAAAUGUGUUGCUAAAUCCUUCAUUAGAUCUAGUAAGUGUCUGAGAUGCAAUAGGCCUCCUGCAUGUCUUCCUUCCUUUUGCCAGUGAGGGUUUCCAGUUACACAAAUGUAGGUCUAAGGUCACUGGAGAAGAGAUUUUCAGCCUCGCACCAUUCAGGCAAAUGUUUAAUGUCCAACCAAAGAGCUAAUUCUACACAGGACAAAAAUAGAUGGAAAUGGGUUAUUUGUGGUUCAGCGUGGCUUGCUUUUUUGAAAGCACAGAACUGAUUUCAUUUUUAUAUCCUGCUCUCUUCUGUACAAUGACUUAGAAAUAUAGAAAUUUUCAAGAGUAUCUGUUAUUCUCAGUGGCACAAAAUGGAUAUUUAAAAGAGCCUAAGUGGAAAAUAGAAUGCAAUUCACUGUACAGCUGCUUUCAGUAUAAUUUGAAUCUUUUUUUUUAAAGACACAUACUGUUUUUUUCACUGAUCGUGAAAGAAAUAUGUAUCUAUUGUGAAUAAAUAUCUAUCUAUCUAUCAAAUAUAUGAAAUAAAAAUCAUCAGUAAUCCCAAGCCCCAAAAGUAAUGAC
ensembl:lncRNA